rnacentral:rRNA from 1 species
ACCCAAUAGAUACCCCGGUAGUCCUGGCCCUAAACGAUGUCCACUAGAUCGUGGCGGUUCUAACGCCGUCAUGGUCGAAAGCAAAAAAGUGCUAAGUGGACCGCCUGGGAAGUACGGUCGCAAGGCUAAAACUCAAAGGAAUUGACGGGGGCUCACACAAGCGGUGGAGCAUGUGGUUCAAUUCGAAGCAACGCGCAGAACCUUACCUGGGCUUGACAUGCCAGGAUUAUCCCUAUGAAAGUAGGGUAGGCCCUUCGGGGUACAACUGGUACAGGUGCUGCAUGGCUGUCGUCAGCUCGUGUCGUGAGAUGUCGGGUUAAGUCCCUUAACGAGCGAAACCUUUGCCCUUAGUUACCAGCGGGUUAUGCCGGGGACUCUAAGGGGACUGCCGGUGUCAAACCGGAGGAAGGUGGAGAUGACGUCAAGUCCUCAUGGCCUUUAUGCCCAGGGCCACACACGUGCUACAAUGGCGUCCACAGAGCGAACCGAGAGCGCAAGCUGGAGGAAAUCGCAUAAAUGACG